AACGGUGUAGUUUAGUGGUAAAACGUAGGCCAAACCUUGGAAUUUAUUUCCAUAACCACGGCUGUGCAUUUCGGCGGUUCGAAUCCGCCCGCCGUUU
rnacentral:tRNA from 1 species